rnacentral:rRNA from 1 species
CCUGGCUCACGACGAACGCUGGCGGCGCGCCUAACACAUGCAAGUCGAACGAGCGAGAGAGAGCUUGCUUUCUCAAGCGAGUGGCGAACGGGUGAGUAACGCGUGAGGAACCUGCCUCAAAGAGGGGGACAACAGUUGGAAACGACUGCUAAUACCGCAUAAGCCCACGGCUCGGCAUCGAGCAGAGGGAAAAGGAGCAAUCCGCUUUGAGAUGGCCUCGCGUCCGAUUAGCUAGUUGGUGAGGUAACGGCCCACCAAGGCGACGAUCGGUAGCCGGACUGAGAGGUUGAACGGCCACAUUGGGACUGAGACACGGCCCAGACUCCUACGGGAGGCAGCAGUGGGGAAUAUUGCACAAUGGGGGAAACCCUGAUGCAGCGACGCCGCGUGGAGGAAGAAGGUCUUCGGAUUGUAAACUCCUGUUGUUGAGGAAGAUAAUGACGGUACUCAACAAGGAAGUGACGGCUAACUACGUGCCAGCAGCCGCGGUAAAACGUAGGUCACAAGCGUUGUCCGGAAUUACUGGGUGUAAAGGGAGCGCAGGCGGGAAGACAAGUUGGAAGUGAAAUCCAUGGGCUCAACCCAUGAACUGCUUUCAAAACUGUUUUUCUUGAGUAGUGCAGAGGUAGGCAGAAUUCCCGGUGUAGCGGUGGAAUGCGUAGAUAUCGGGAGGAACACCAGUGGCGAAGGCGGCCUACUGGGCACCAACUGACGCUGAGGCUCGAAAGUGUGGGUAGCAAACAGGAUUAGAUACCCUGGUAGUCCACACUGUAAACGAUGAUUACUAGGUGUUGGAGGAUUGACCCCUUCAGUGCCGCAGUUAACACAAUAAGUAAUCCACCUGGGGAGUACGACCGCAAGGUUGAAACUCAAAGGAAUUGACGGGGGCCCGCACAAGCAGUGGAGUAUGUGGUUUAAUUCGACGCAACGCGAAGAACCUUACCAAGUCUUGACAUCCCUUGACGAUGCUGGAAACAGUAUUUCUCUUCGGAGCAAGGAGACAGGUGGUGCAUGGUUGUCGUCAGCUCGUGUCGUGAGAUGUUGGGUUAAGUCCCGCAACGAGCGCAACCCUUAUGGUCAGUUACUACGCAAGAGGACUCUGGCCAGACUGCCGUUGACAAAACGGAGGAAGGUGGGGAUGACGUCAAAUCAUCAUGCCCUUUAUGACUUGGGCUACACACGUACUACAAUGGCGUUAAACAAAGAGAAGCAAGACCGCGAGGUGGAGCAAAACUCAGAAACAACGUCCCAGUUCGGACUGCAGGCUGCAACUCGCCUGCACGAAGUCGGAAUUGCUAGUAAUCGCAGAUCAGCAUGCUGCGGUGAAUACGUUCCCGGGCCUUGUACACACCGCCC